rnacentral:rRNA from 1 species
UGGGGAAUAUUGGGCAAUGGGGGAAACCCUGACCCAGCGACGCCGCGUGAGGGAAGAAGGCCUUAGGGUCGUAAACCUCUGUUGUGUGGGAAGAAGAGCGUGACGGUACCACACGAGGAAGUCCCGGCUAACUACGUGCCAGCAGCCGCGGUAAUACGUAGGGGACGAGCGUUGUCCGGAUUUACUGGGCGUAAAGGGCGCGUAGGCGGUCAUUUAAGUCAGCUGUGAAAUGGUUUGGCUUAACCGGAUCAUGCGGUUGAAACUGGAUGACUGGAGUGCUGGAGAGGCAAGUGGAAUUCCCAGUGUAGCGGUGAAAUGCGUAGAUAUUGGGAAGAACACCGGUGGCGAAGGCGACUUGCUGGCCAGCAACUGACGCUGAGGCGCGAAAGCCAGGGGAGC